UUUUUCUCUGGGAUGUUCGACAAUCUUUCCCUGUUAUAGGAUUCGGUGAACGCUCUGUGGAUUGUUGGUCCGUAGCUCUUGGUGGUUCCGCUAGCCAUUACGAGCGUCUCUUAUUUGCGGGUUACUCUGACGGGGUUAUAAGCGCGUAUGAUCUUCGCACUUCAAAGCUUUUCUUUGAAAGCACUCUUGAACAUGGGGUCACUAGUUUGUCUUUAAACGACCAGUACCAGUCAAAUUUUUAUUUACUGGCAUCCACUCUGACCGAUAUUCACCUAUACACUGCUGUUUCUAAUGGAAGCGCCGAUCCUCUUUCCCUCCACCGCUCAUUCAACUCUAUGCCCCGCAGCUUAACUAUAUGGAAAUCUGCUUUUCUUCCAGAAUCUCCUUAUUUUGCCGUCGUCGAUAGUCAGGCACGUGUGGGACUUUGGAAAAAAGACGACGAAGAGGUGUUAACAGGGUGUGUUUCUCUGGGUAGUUUGGUUGUGAAGAACUCACCUCUAUGUGCCUAUGACUGGAACUUUGACAAGAAAGGUUUAGCCGCCUGCACUUCUUUCGAUCAAUCCCUGCACGCUAUAUUUACGCCUUAUAUUCGGUAGUAGCCCUUUACUGUUGACCACCUAAAAAUUGAUCAACGAUGUUGCGAGAGUCCAGCGCCUUGCAGUCUUUAAUGUUAUAAAAGUACUUAAGGUGAAAAUGGGAGUUAAUUUGUCUUCAAGGUCGCAAAUUUUAUCCACUGUUACUAGAG